GGCGCUGUGGCUCAAGUGGUAGAGCGCUAGCCUUGAGCUGAAGAGGCCCUGGGUUCGAUUCCUCAGCACCA
rnacentral:tRNA from 1 species